rnacentral:rRNA from 1 species
CUACGGGAGGCAGCAGUGGGGAAUAUUGCACAAUGGGGGAAACCCUGAUGCAGCAAUGCCGCGUGUGUGAAGAAGGCCUGCGGGUUGUAAAGCACUUUCAAUUGGAAAGAAAAGGGGUUGGCUAAUACCUGACCUUCUUGACGUUACCUUUAGAAGAAGCACCGGCUAACUCCGUGCCAGCAGCCGCGGUAAUACGGAGGGUGCAAGCGUUAAUCGGAAUUACUGGGCGUAAAGCGUACGUAGGCGGUUAGGUCAGUCAGAUGUGAAAGCCCCGGGCUUAACCUGGGAACUGCAUUUGAUACUGCCUGACUGGAGUGUGGUAGAGGGAAGUGGAAUUCCGGGUGUAGCGGUGAAAUGCGUAGAUAUCCGGAGGAACACCAGUGGCGAAGGCGGCUUCCUGGACCAACACUGACGCUGAGGUACGAAAGCGUGGGUAGCAAACAGGAUUAGAUACCCGUGUAGUCC